GAACCUCACCUGUCUUGAAUAACACUUGCUGUUUACUGAGAAGUAGCCCUGCUCAUUUCUCUUUGGCGUUCUCUCUGGCCACCAGGUUUUCUGGGACUUGGUCUUUAUUUUAAACAGUUUGUAGAUAGAGACGAUGGAAUUUUGAAGUUAAUAGAAAGAAGCUGCAGUGACACUAUUAAUCCAAGAAAAAGUCUGCCAAACCUUACUUUACACUUUGAGAAAAUGUUUUGCUUGUUUUCAGUCUGGCCUCAUCACAGUCAUUUUGAACACACACACACACACACACACACAUACACUGUAGUGGGUUGAAUGGUGGCCCCUCAAAAGAUACAUUCACCUGGAACUUGUGAAUGUGACUCUAUUUAGAAAAAUGGUUUUUGCAGAUCUAAUAAGGAUCCUGAAAUGAGAUCAACCUGGAUUAUCCAGGUGGGCCCUAUAGCUAAUGACAAGUGUAGUAUAAGAGACAAGAGAAGACACGGGAGGGCAGAAGGCAAUGUGAAGACAGAGGCAAAGACUGGAGUGAUGCAACUGCAAGCCAAAGAAUCCCUGGAGCUGUCAGAGAUUGGAAGAGGCGAGGAAGCUUCUCCCCUGAGUCUUCAGAGGGAGCACAAGCCUGCCGACACGGUGAUUUUGGACUUCUGGCCUCCAGAACGCAUCACUCGCCUUACCAACUGCUCUCUGCUCCUCGUACCACCUGGGCCGCUGUGAGCUCAACUGAAUCGGCAGAACUCGUCAGGGGCAGCACCAUAAUUGUGGUAUGAAAUUCUGUGGCUUGGGAUGGGGAGGAGGGAAAAGGGGCCUCCAGAAUUAGCUCUUGCUUGUCUUGGAGUUUUCAGCUCUUCAUUCAAGUUUGUAGAUGUUCCUAUUAAUUGAUUCAGCAGGCCUGGCUCUGAGCGCUUCCGGUUCCUUUUGCUGGUUCCUUACCCUCAUUCUAAUUGUCAAGUUCACUGCAAACUAUAGUUCUACCAAGUGCUGCAAAGAAGAACGUACAAGCUUUACUGGGAGCUCAGACUCGGAAGAGUUCCUUCAGAGCAUUCAAAACCAAAAAAGAAACAGACAAAAAAGUGAUGCAUCUUUUCGGUCAGUAAGAUCAUCCAUUUCAGGGUACUGUCAGUCAAGUUGUUUUGAAGAGCCCCCCAGGGCUGCCAGGUUUGUCUUCUUGAGUGGUUCUAUAAUGUACAGAGCUUCUUAACCACAGCUCCUUGGUUCAUUCUCACAGAUAAGAAGGCGUCUUUGCCUCUUUUUGCCCAACAUCCAGGCAUGUGCCAGGUUCCCUCUGAUCUUCAUGAUAUCAGAGCUAAUUUUAGGCCCCAGACAUGGCUUCUAGCCAGAGUGUUCAUGUGACCAGCUCCCGAAUAUGCUGUGGGGAGCACGAGAACUACUAUCUGGAAUGAUGAUCCGAUUUCUCUGAGCAGCGUGCUUUGUAGACAGACGACUCCAUGGCUGGACGGACUGUGAACAGCUUGAACGUCCGUAUGUGGUUGCUUCUUGGAUAUCUCUUCAUCACCAUAUUUGAGGACAUCUGCUGUUGGGGAUCCUGUGAAAUGAAUUAAUCUGUGAUUUGAUCAGUCUGCACAUGUAACCUGGAUAUGCUCUUUUUCUUUGCUCCUACUAUGCAAAUGUACAGUUAUUAAUACCCAUUAGUACUCCACAGAUGCUGACACAGCGAUGUAGUUAAGAAUGCUC
rnacentral:lncRNA from 1 species